rnacentral:rRNA from 1 species
UGGGGAAUUUUGCGCAAUGGGCGAAAGCCUGACGCAGCAACGCCGCGUGUGUGACGAAGGCCCUAGGGUUGUAAAGCACUGUGGGAAGGAAAGAAUAGACGGGGGUCAUGCCCUGGUUUGACGGUACCUUCUUAGAAAGCACCGGCUAACUCCGUGCCAGCAGCCGCGGUAAUACGGAGGGUGCAAGCGUUGUUCGGAAUUAUUGGGCGUAAAGGGCGUGUAGGUGGCCAAUCAAGUCUGUUGUGAAAUCCCACGGCUCAACCGUGGAACUGCAAUGGAAACUGGUUGGCUCGAGGGUUGGAGGGGGUCGCGGAAUUCCCGGUGUAGAGGUGAAAUUCGUAGAUAUCGGGAGGAACACCAGUGGCGAAGGCGGCGACCUGGCCAAUCACUGACACUGAUACGCGAAAGCGUGGGGAGCAAACAGG